rnacentral:rRNA from 1 species
UACGUAGGGACCGAGCGUUGUCCGGAAUUAUUGGGCGUAAAGGGCUCGUAGGCGGUUUGUCGCGUCGGGAGUGAAAACUCAGGGCUUAACCCUGAGCCUGCUUCCGAUACGGGCAGACUAGAGGUAUGCAGGGGAGAACGGAAUUCCUGGUGUAGCGGUGAAAUGCGCAGAUAUCAGGAGGAACACCGGUGGCGAAGGCGGUUCUCUGGGCAUUACCUGACGCUGAGGAGCGAAAGUGUGGGGAGCGAACAGG